rnacentral:rRNA from 1 species
GAAAUGCGAUACGUAGUGUGAAUUGCAGAAAACCGUGAACCAUCGAAUCUUUGAACGCAUAUUGCGCUGGAGGCUUCGGCCAACAGCAUGUCUGCCUCAGCGUCGGGUUAAUUCUCGCCCAUCAUCUUCCCUGUGUUGAUGAUUUGGGCGGAUCUGGCUUUCUCAGCUCUCACGAGCUGGGUUUGCUGAAGUACAGAGGUUAAUGCAUGGACCCGUUAAGGGCUGCAGCUGGUUAGGCAGUGAUGCUAUCGAUUAGCUGUUGGUCUGGGAACUGCGUUUGACCCUCCACAAGGAAACUUAAUUAUUUCCUCGACCUGAAAUCAAGCA